rnacentral:RNase_P_RNA from 1 species
CGUGCAAGUCGUCUUGUCGCCCCGAUCUAGAUCGGGGAGGAAAGUCCGGGCAACAUAGAGCGCCAUACUUCCUAACGGGAAGGCCCCAGACUGGAGACGGUAAGGGGACAGAAAGUGCCACAGAAAACAAACCGUCCCGAUCCCGAUAGUUAUCGGAAUCGGGAUAAGGGUGAAAAGGUGGGGUAAGAGCCCACCGCUCCGACAGUGAUGAAGGAGGCACGGCAAACCUUAUGGGUUGAAAGAUCAAAUAGGCCCUGGGCAAAGAGCUGCUCGUUCGAUUCCCGUUUAGGCGGGAUUCCGGGGUGGGUAGAUCGAUUGAUCCCGACCGCGAGGUCGGGACUAGAUAAAUGACAAGAGCCCCGAGUGAUCGGGGAACAGAACCCGGCUUACAGACUUGCACUUUUU